rnacentral:rRNA from 1 species
GAUCAUGGCUCAGGAUGAACGCUGGCGGCGUGCCUAACACAUGCAAGUCGAGCGAUUUACUUAGGUAAAGAGCGGCAGACGGGUGAGUAACGCGUGGGUAACCUGCCCUGUACACACGGAUAACAUAUCGAAAGGUAUGCUAAUACGAGAUAAUAUGCUUUUAUCGCAUGGUAGAAGUAUCAAAGCUUUUGCGGUACAGGAUGGACCCGCGUCUGAUUAGCUAGUUGGUGAGGUAACGGCCCACCAAGGCGACGAUUGGUAGCCGGACUGAGAGGUUGAACGGCCACAUUGGGACUGAGACACGGCCCAGACUCCUACGGGAGGCAGCAGUGGGGGAUAUUGCACAAUGGGGGAAACCCUGAUGCAGCGACGCCGCGUGGAGGAAGAAGGUUUUCGGAUUGUAAACUCCUGUCGUACGGGACGAUAAUGACGGUACCGUACAAGAAAGCCACGGCUAACUACGUGCCAGCAGCCGCGGUAAAACGUAGGUGGCAAGCGUUGUCCGGAAUUACUGGGUGUAAAGGGAGCGCAGGCGGGUUGUCAAGUUGGAAGUGAAAUCUAUGGGCUCAACCCAUAAAUUGCUUUCAAAACUGACGAUCUUGAGUAGUGCAGAGGUAGGCGGAAUUCCCGGUGUAGCGGUGGAAUGCGUAGAUAUCGGGAGGAACACCAGUGGCGAAGGCGGCCUACUGGGCACCAACUGACGCUGAGGCUCGAAAGUAUGGGUAGCAAACAGGAUUA